rnacentral:rRNA from 1 species
AUUGAACGCUGGCGGCAGGCCUAACACAUGCAAGUCGAGCGGAUGAAGGGAGCUUGCUCCUGGAUUCAGCGGCGGACGGGUGAGUAAUGCCUAGGAAUCUGCCUGGUAGUGGGGGAUAACGUCCGGAAACGGGCGCUAAUACCGCAUACGUCCUGAGGGAGAAAGUGGGGGAUCUUCGGACCUCACGCUAUCAGAUGAGCCUAGGUCGGAUUAGCUAGUUGGUGGGGUAAAGGCCUACCAAGGCGACGAUCCGUAACUGGUCUGAGAGGAUGAUCAGUCACACUGGAACUGAGACACGGUCCAGACUCCUACGGGAGGCAGCAGUGGGGAAUAUUGGACGAUGGGCGAAAGCCUGAUCCAGACAUGCCGCGUGUGUGAAGAAGGUCUUCGGAUUGUAAAGCACUUUAAGUUGGGAGGAAGGGCAGUAAGUUAAUACCUUGCUGUUUUGACGUUACCAACAGAAUAAGCACCGGCUAACUUCGUG